rnacentral:rRNA from 1 species
UACGGGGGGGCAAGCGUUGUUCGGAAUUACUGGGCGUAAAGGGCUCGUAGGCGGCCAACUAAGUCGGAUGUGAAAUCCCCAGGCUUAACCUGGGAACUGCAUCCGAUACUGGAUGGCUUGAAUCCGGGAGAGGGUGCGGAAUUCCAGGUGUAGCGGUGAAAUGCGUAGAUAUCUGGAGGAACACCGGUGGCGAAGGCGGCAUCCUGGACCGACAUUGACGCUGAGGAGCGAAAGCCGGGGAGCAAACGGGG